UACGAAGGGGGCUAGCGUUGCUCGGAAUCACUGGGCGUAAAGCGCACGUAGGCGGAUUGUUAAGUCAGGGGUGAAAUCCUGGAGCUCAACUCCAGAACUGCCUUUGAUACUGGCGAUCUUGAGUCCGGGAGAGGUGAGUGGAACUGCGAGUGUAGAGGUGAAAUUCGUAGAUAUUCGCAAGAACACCGGUGGCGAAGGCGCAUCCUGGACCGGCAUUGACGCUGAGGCGCGAAAGCCAGGGGAGCAAACGGGG
rnacentral:rRNA from 1 species